GCAGCGGGAGCCGGUGGGGCGGCGGGCCCGGUCACCGCUGAGCUGGCGGCGGGAGGGUGGUUGAUGUGACCCCCCCUGUUCGUGUGCUGGCUCUGAGGCGGGGCAGAGGUUUCACCUUUAAGGAGAAGAACCUUGCCUGGCGUGCCUGUCCGAGGAGAGGUCCUCGGGGCUGCUCCCGUCAGGUUCACCCAGGAAAUGGCCGGGUUUGUGUGGUAAAAGCCACGGCAGCCACGGAGCGAGGGUCCUGCUCGGGCCCCCUGCGCUCUCCUCACCGGCGGCUCUGGGGCUGAGCUGCGCUGGAUCCCAGCAGAGCUGAGCGGGGUCCCAGGGAGGGACAGUGUGGGCAGUUUCCUUGGGCCAUCAGUGUCUCGUUUUCGUUGUUAACCCAGAAAGUAGGUUGCUCAGUACUCAGGGAUCCUGACUCAAAACGUCUGAGCUUCUAAACUGACUACAGGCAUAUUUCUGUGUUGAGUAAAGGGUCACAUCUCAGCUGCUGCUGGGAUUCUUGGGCUCCAGUUGCAGUGGUUUUGUGCACAGGCAUGUAGAAAAAAAACAACAACGUAUUUUGCACAAAUAAGGCCUUUUGCACUCGGGUAUUGUGCUUUGCAGAAGCGAUUGAAAGGAAGACAAAUGCUGCUCUGAUGAAGUGUGGAGCCAAGUGGCGAUGAUACAGACUGCAGUGCCCCUUGGCAUCAGUAGAGAUCAUGUUAAAUUUGAGGGAUGAAAUUAAAGUUUCAGUUCUCUCUCAUUCUGACUUGCUUUGUUGAGAAGUUAGAUAAUACUUUUUAGUUUGGUAAUAAAUAGGGAAGGCAACAAAGAUGCAGAGGAAAGUAGCUAUGUACCAAGUAGGAGCUUCCUCAGAAGGGCUGUUACAACUUUUAGGAGCCAUUCCUAGUGUAAGGAAAUUUCCCUGAAGAGGUGCAGUAUAAACAAAACCUGCUUAGAACCCUGAGUUCUCCUGAGUGGAUAUGAAUUUACUGUGUUUCCUCCCUGGAGCAAGGAGAAAGGAAAAACAGUGGUGAAGUGGAGAAGCUCAUCUCUUAAAUUGCUGUUCAACUUGCAUGUCAGAGAGCAAAAUUCCCACUAGCAACUCUGUAGGGAAUACUAGAUUAUGCCCCACUGGCAAGGGAUCUCAGCAGAGAACUAUGAUGCUUUUGUUCACUGAACAGAACCUGAUUCAUCACUUUCCUUACAUCACCACCCAGUUCUCUAGCUUCUCACCACAGAUUGGUAUGGCUUUCCUUUAGGAGCAACACUUCAGACAGGCAGUAAGGCUUACAGAUCCUCCACCAUCGCCCCUGGCCUCAGUCAGCAUUGAAACAAGCCCACAGAGAACAGAACAGAAAUGACUCAUGAUUUUUUUUACCCACGUACAGCAGUAGAAGAAAAGCAAGCACUGGAAAUGAAGCUGAAAUUCUUCUGCCUUAUAUGACAGCUGGUUCAGACUCCUUGUGAUAAGAAAUGGGGUACUGGCAAGCAUUAGUGACGCAAUAGUGAGUAGGUUGAGCCCAGUGGAACAAUGGGGUGACUGGAGACUGGUGAAACCGUUGUUUUCCCAUCCUCUCUGCAGGAGUCCAGGAUUUGGAGCAGUGUGUUUACCCCAGAUACAACAAAUGAAUGACUGCAAGCACUUGUCAUGCAGGGACCGAAACGAACUGAUUAGCAGAGAAACUCAGUGGAUGAGAGAAGCCCUCCUGUGCACAAGGGUCUCUGUAAAUUUUGUGAGCCUGAUCAGAGCACAAACUGCUUGAGUAAUAAUCACAAUGUCCUUCAUUUGGCUGGACAUGCAAAUGUGUUCUUCCUAAAGAGGAAAAAGUGUUCAUUGAGUUCAGGACUCCUUCAUGCACUGAUAGCUUUAAACUACAAGCUUUACAAUUAAAAUGGCUGUUACUGAACACAGACAUGUUCAAACCACUGGUUUCUUCUGGUGUAAUAUUGAAUAUGUGCACAGAUCCCCAGACUCUUUAUUUUAAUAUAUCGUCUUCAUAGAGCUAAAGACAUUGUGUUGAGGCUUCACACUGUUAACAUCUAUGUCUGUGAAUGCUCCAGUUCUCAUUAGAGAUGGAAGGAAAAAAACCCCAUUACUAAGCUGGCUAGCCCAGCCCUUGUGAACUACAGGAUUUUCCAGUUCAGUGUAUUCCCUCAUUCUUCACUGCAACAAAGUUUUUUUUUUUCAUGUGCCAAAUUUGACGGCUUUGUAUUUUUUCAAAUAGUAAAAGGUAG